AAGAUUAUGAGCAGCUUCAUUUGCUUGUCUCCUGAUGAACUUAACAUGAGAGUUCACAAGAUUUGUAGCUAACAAAUUUCUACAAUCGCUUAGUAUUGCACUUAGAUCAGAUGUAGAAGUUCUCUUGCUAUAAAGGCCAUCCACCACUCUUUUGCAAUCUAAUUCAAUAUCUGUGUUGUAUAGUUGCAUCUCAUCAAGUCAGUUUAGAGCUUUCAACAAACCUAUUGCUUCACCAAUCUCCAAAUCAACUAUGGGUUCUAUCCAUUAUGUUCUUGCAGCCACAAAGCGAGCUUGAUCAUCCCGAACACACAUGUCAAUUCCAACCUUGUUGCGGUGAAAAUAAAAUGAUGCAUCAAUGUUGCAUUUAUUCUUGAUGGGCUUUCUGCGGGAUUUGUGUUAAUACACGUGCUUGUUGAGCAUAUCGCCAAUGUAAUCAAGUGCAUAGCUCUUUCAUACACAGUGUGGAUAGUUUCGGUGAUAUGGUCCCACACUUGACUGUUCCUGCGCUUCCAUAAACUCCACGCCACAACGCUAAAUAAUUCCUGUUGAUUGGUAUCAAGACUGUUAAUAACAGAGAAUUAAUGAAUUUAUUUAUUAUCGAGUAUAAUUGAUUUUUUCGUCUUUAAAAUUGAAUCUAGC
rnacentral:lncRNA from 1 species